CGGCCAACACUUUUACAGUUCAUCCAAGGAGGGCAUUAAUGGCUGCAAUCGCUCGUUGCCUAACUUGAUCGGCCGAGUCUAAUAUCCGCUAGUCAUCAUCGGCUGAUCCUGGGACUUCUGGCAUAUGGAGAUGGAGUCUGAUUGCUUCGUGGGCUAGGUUUUGUCUCUCUUGCUUCAGUUCGGUGAUGACAGAGGGAAGGUCUUGGAG
rnacentral:lncRNA from 1 species